rnacentral:rRNA from 1 species
CACGCCGUAAACGAUGAGCACUAGGUGUCGGGGUCGCAAGACUUCGGUGCCGCAGUUAACGCAUUAAGUGCUCCGCCUGGGGAGUACGCACGCAAGUGUAAAACUCAAAGGAAUUGACGGGGACCCGCACAAGCAGCGGAGCAUGUGGUUUAAUUCGAAGCAACGCGAAGAACCUUACCAGGGCUUGACAUCCCUCUGACAGAUCCGUAAUGGGAUCCUCCCUUCGGGGCAGAGGUGACAGGUGG